rnacentral:lncRNA from 13 species
AGGAAGCUGGGCUGGAAAUACAGCUGAGAGCCACUGUUGACAGAUGGAUGCCUUCUUAAUCACAGGCUCUGUGGGUAAAGGGAAAGCCUUGCCUGGGCAGCCCCUCCCACCUCCACCCACCCCCUCCAUUGAUUCACAAACCUGGAAUACUCUGGAGGAGGCUGGGAAAGUCCAUCCCCAGGGAAUAUCACUUUUUUCCUCUUCCAUGCCUCUCACAGGACACCCACAAGACCAGGAGGCAGAACGUGAACAGGGAGGUCUUUCUUAUUACUACUUUUUGAGUGUCAGCAAGUGAAAUCACUUCUUAUCCUUGGAAGAAAACGACAAGAAAUGACAGCCACGGAAUCUUCCUCUGGAUAUGGGAACAGAAAUAGCUCUCAGAAUAAAUAGUGGCCACACACAGCAUGAAAAUGUUGAUGAGGAGGAUGAUCCAAGAUGGCCAAAUACCAACAGCUCAGGAGUGCAGUUCCCAGCAAGAAUGCAGAGGGGACAUGGAUGAAUCUGGAGAACAUCAUUCUCAGCAAACUGACACAAGAACAGAAAAUCAGACGUUGCAUGUUCUUACUCAAAGGAAGCUUACUUCAGGCAAGAAAUCCCUCAGAGUCCUGAAGAUACAGCUUUUGGAACUUAGAUGAAGAAAGAAGACUCAAGACACAGACUUCGUUUAAAUCAGUAUUAACAUCAAACACAUCACCAUCAAGAAAGCUGUAAUUUUGAUUGUUUGUCUAACAGUUGGGCCACGUUUUCCUGUUUUUCAUUUCUCUUCUGAUACGUCAGUCUAUGCCAGGGGAGAAACUGGCUGAAGUUAAGGGCUAAUGUCAAGUACUAACUGAACAACAAAUGGAUGGCCUCAAUAAUGUUAUAACCUGGUUGAAAUUAUUACUCAGUUUUUUUUUUGGCAGACCUGAGAUCUAUGUAUCUCCAUUUAACACGUGAAUGUAGACCAUUUCCUUAAAAGCAAAUUCCUAUAAAAAUAUAUAUCAGAAAUGAAUAGGUAUAAUUAAUAUAACUUUUUAAAUGCUUAAUAAAAUUCACCAGUAUACUAUCA